rnacentral:rRNA from 1 species
CCUACGGGAGGCAGCAGUGGGGGAUAUUGCACAAUGGGGGAAACCCUGAUGCAGCGACGCCGCGUGGGUGAAGAAGUAUUUCGGUAUGUAAAGCCCUAUCAGCAGGGAAGAAAGAAGACGGUACCUGACUAAGAAGCCCCGGCAAACUACGUGCCAGCCGCCGCGGUAAUACGUAGGGGGCGAGCGUUAUCCGGGUUCACUGGGUGUAAAGGGAGCGUAGACGGCCGUGCAAGCCAGGGGUGAAAGCCCGGGGCCCAACCCCGGGACUGCUGUUGGAACUGGGCGGCUGGAGUGCGGGAGAGGCAGGCGGAAUUCCGGGUGUAGCGGUGAAAUGCGUAGAUAUCAGGAGGAACACCGGCGGCGAAGGCGGCCUACUGGACCGCGACUGACGUUGAGGCUCGAAAGCGUGGGGAGCGAACAGGAUUAGAUACCCGGGUAGUC